UCUUUCAAGUACAAAAGAAUGGCUACUCAGUAAAAUUAACUUUCACUGCCUUUUUAAGGACAUUUUUAAGUGAAACAGCAUUUUUUUUUCACUGUGAGUGGGUGGCAGUGAAGAAUCCACUUCUGCUAGUAGUUUGCCACUGCCUUGAUUUGAGCUAAAGCACCAGCAUGUCCCCUCCUCCAUUGCUUUUCAUCUGCAGCUGUCACUGGAGGUCCUUCACGCUCCUGCAUUCAGGCAGAGCGUGGCUGGGCUGAGAGAUCCAUCACACACUGGCAGCUGAGCCUGAUUGUCAUCCAGCCUGGACAUCUCUGUUCCCCUCCACAUGGCCUGUUGUCCUCAAGCUGGCUAGACCAACCUCCUUCAGCAGCAUUCAGACAGGCAAAGGCAGGAGCUGCAAGAUGUCUGCGGCCUCACACAUCAUCCUCACUGCCUUCUGGCCAAAGCAAGUCCCAAGGCAGCCUCCCGCUGGUCAGGGUGAUUCAGGUAGAAUUUAGAUGGUCAGUCAUUUCCCAUCCUCUGCAUAGUUGAGUUCCCUGGAAUUUGUAUUGUUAGUAGAGAUGGGGUUUCUCCAUGUUGGUCAGGCUGGUCUCGAACUCCUGACCUCAGGUGAUCCGCCCUCCUCGGCCUCCCAAAGUGCUGGGAUUACAGGCAUGAGCCACCACCCCCGGCCAGCGAGCCGGCUGCUUUGUCCUCAGCGACAGCCUGUUUCCUCUUUGAAUUUAUCUUUCAAUUCUUUUUUCUUUUUAUUUUCCCCCUUUCCACAGGUGUUAAAGAAUUUCUCUUUAAAUUCAAUGUGACUUGUAGUAUGGUUUAUUUAUUUAUUUAUUUAUUUAUUUAUUUUUUAGACGGAGUCUCACUCUGUGGCCCAGGCUGGAGUGCACUGGCGCAAUCUCACCUCACUGCCACCGCCACCUCCUGGGUUCAAGUGACUCUCCUGCCUCAGCCUCCUGAGUAGCUGGGGUUACAGGCGCCUGCCACCACGCCCAGCUAAUUUUUGUAUUUUUAUUAGAGAUGGGGUUUCACCAUGUUGGUUAGGCUGGUCUCAAACUCCUGACCUCAUGAUCCGCCUGCCUCGGCCUCCCAAAGUGCUGGGAUUACAGGCGUGAGCUACUGUACCCAGCCAAUUUUUUUAUUUUUAUUUUUUGAGAUGGAGUCUUGCUCUUGUCGCCCAGGCUGGAGUGUAGUGGCACGAUCUCGGCUCACUGUAGCCUCUGCCUCCCGGGUUUCAGCAGUUCUCCCACCUGAGCUUCCCUAGCUAGCUGGGACCACAGGUGGGUGUCAACACACCUGGCUAAUUUCUUUCUUUUUUUCUUUUUUUUUUUUAAGAGAUGGGGUCUCACUAUGUUAUGUUGCCCAGGCUGGUCUCCAACUCCUGGGCUCAAGUGAUUCUCUCGCCUUGUGCUGAAAUUACAGGAGUGAGCCACUGCACCCAGCCCUGUAUGUGUAGUAUUUUAAGUGAUAUGAUUCAGUUUUUUUCUAUCAAAAAUAAUACUAAUGAAUAUAUCAUCUUAACUUCAAAUUUCAGCCCAUUCGUUUUUUUUGUUUGAGACAGAGUCUUGCUGUGUUGCCCAGGCUGGGGUGCAGUGGCAUGAUCUCGGCUCACUGCAGCCUCCACCUCCCAGGUUCAAGCAGUUCUCAUCCCUCAGCCUCCUGGGUCACUGGGAUUACAGAUGAGUGCCACCAAACCUGGCUAAUUUUUUUUUUUUUUUUUUUUUUGUAUUUUUUAGAAGAGACAGGGUUUCACCAUAUUAGCCAAGCUGGUCUUGAACCCCUGGCCUCAAAUGAUCUGCCCACCUCAGCCUCCCAGAGUGCUAGGAUUACAGGCGUUAGCCACUGCGCCUGGCCCAUAUUUCUUUAGAAUUAAUUCCUUGGACCGGCUGGGCACUAUGGCUCACACCUGUAAUCCCAGCACUUUGGGAAGCCGAGGUGGGCAAAUCACCUGAGGUCAGGAGUUCGAGACCAGCCUGACCAACAUGGUGAAACCCCCAUCUCUACUAAAAAUAAUUAGCUGUGCAUGGUGGUGUUCGCCUAUUAGUCCCAGCUACUCGGGAGGCUGAGGCAGGAGAAUCUCUUGAACCCGGGAGGCGGAGGUUGCAGUGAGCCGAGAUCACGCCACUGCAUUCCAGCCUGGGCGACGGAGUGAAAUUCACUCCGUCUCAAAAAAAAAAAAAAAAAAAAAAAAAAGAAUUCCUAAAAGUAGAAUUGUCAGUACGUGUAUUUGUGUGAAGCCUUUGACCGCAUUGCUCUUACAAAAGCCUUACCCUAUCAUUGUUUACCCAGCAGUGGACAGGGGAGCAAGUGGCCCAUUUUAUAGAAGUUUAGAGCCUUUCCAGGGAGGGCAUAGUCAGGUAACCACAGCAGGUAAGGCUGACCAGUGUGUGCCUCUCUCCAUGGCCUAGAACAAUCACCAUGAGGAGAACAUCUCUUCAAAGAUGAAGGGCCUGAACGG
rnacentral:lncRNA from 1 species